rnacentral:rRNA from 1 species
UUUAAUGAGAGUUUGAUCCUGGCUCAGGACGAACGCUGGCGGCGUGCCUAAUACAUGCAAGUAGAACGCUGAGGUUUGGUGUUUACACUAGACUGAUGAGUUGCGAACGGGUGAGUAACGCGUAGGUAACCUGCCUCAUAGCGGGGGAUAACUAUUGGAAACGAUAGCUAAUACCGCAUAAGAGUAAUUAACACAUGUUAGUUAUUUAAAAGGAGCAAUUGCUUCACUGUGAGAUGGACCUGCGUUGUAUUAGCUAG